rnacentral:rRNA from 1 species
AUUGACCGCUGGCGGCAGGCCUAACACAUGCAAGUCGAGCGGAGCGGCGGACGGGUGAGUAAUGCCUAGGAAUCUGCCUGGUAGUGGGGGAUAAAGUCCGGAAACGGGCGCUAAUCCCGCAUACUAUCAGAUGAGCCUAGGUCGGAUUGACUAGUUGGGGGGGUAAAGGCCGACCAAGGCGACGAUCCGUAACUGGUCUGGGAGGAUGAUCAGUCACACUGUAAAUGAGACACGUUCCAUACUCCUACGGGAGGCAGCAGUGGGUAAUAUUGGACAAUGGGCGAAAGCCUGAUCCAGCCAUGCCGCGUGUUUGAAGAAGGUCUUCGGAUUGUAAAGCACUUUAAGUUGGGAGGCGUUACCAACAGAAUAAGCACCGGCUAACUUCGUGCCAGCAGCCGCGGUAAUUC